AAAUGGUACGGGUCUUCUAGAAUUUGUCUAGCAGGUUUUCCAGUUUUGACCAGAAAGACCCCA
rnacentral:snRNA from 1 species